GCGACCCCAGGAUGGGCGAGGCCACCCGCUGGAG
rnacentral:rRNA from 1 species